rnacentral:piRNA from 1 species
UGCACACUUUUAGAGUAAUAAAUGCUGUC